rnacentral:lncRNA from 1 species
GGCAUCAAGAAGGAAGUUUGGUAGGGGCUCCCCAUUGUGCCUUCUUCCUAGCAGUGUUGGCAUAUUGGCCAGUGGGAAGAAUGUCAGAGAUCAAUUGUUGCAGCAGCUGUAACCUGAACUGUUCUCUUAUUCUGUAAAUGAAAUAAGAAGGGGUCGAUGAAGAUGCUGCCGCUGCCGCGUAGCUCGCCAACGAGAGCACGGGCAUCAGCGACCAACUCCUCGGCGACAGACGCGUCCUCACGUGUCGGCAAAACUGGUCCGUUCUUGCUGUCAGAAACCCCCUUCUUUCUCUCUCCACCGGAAAGGCUCGUCGUGGCGGCCAAAUCCUUGCCGCGCGACAGGUCUUGUAGGUUCUUUGAUUUUCUGAAUUUGCUUUCUUGGUCGCCGCCCCCCUCCGAGUUGGAGUCCUUGAGGAGAGGCGUCUCCGACAUUGUUUCAUCAGUUCGAAAGAACCGGUGGUCUCGGUAGAGAUUGGAAUGAUUAGUGUGACGAGGAGGGAGAGGGGAAGGGGAGGGGAGAGCCAGCAGAAGGGUGGGUAUUUAUUUCCGAGAGGAGGUAGGGGAGGGGAAGCAUGGAGGAGGAGGCCGCCGGCCAGGAUUCGGCUGGGGACCGCCGCGGGAGUUGCCGUUGGGGAUUCAGUUAUCAAAAUCACCGUCGAGGGGGAGAGAAGUGGUGGGAGAAGCGCAAGACGGGAAGAGCGGGGCUGAGCAGCUGGUGUGUUGGGCCAAGGCCCAGCGUCCAUCGGAUUCCGAGGCUUCUUUGCGGAAGAGGGGUGGGGCGGGUAGCGAUUGGAUUUGGAGGAGGCGGCGGCGUGCGGAAGGCGAGGAUGCGGCGGCGGGGGUCAACGGAAGGCCGAAUCAAAGGUGAGAAAUCAAUCCCCCCCCCCCACACACACACACCCUCUAAAUCGCUUAGUUUCUACUGGAUCUGGAUGGUGGAGUACGGAUGUGCUGGAUCUGAUUGGUGUUCUGAAACCCCAAUGUUUCUCACCGGAUGUUCUGAUGGUUGAAAAAGGAACAAAGGAGGGAAGCUUUUAUGGCAGUGAGCAUAGCAGCAGGUGCACAAUCUAGGAAGGCGAUUGGCAUUGGAGGUUAGGUAUCCAACAUUGGAGAAUAGUGUGAAAAUUCCAUUGCUUGCCCAAUCAGACAGGCUGUGCCAAACAAAGAUGAUCGUUUGUAUGAACUUUAGCAAUCUCUCCUUCCACUUGAUACAGAUUAGGUGGCACGAAGAUUAGCUGAAUCGCUAUGAAGGAACUUGUUACUGGGGCAGAAGUGAAAUUUGAUGGAUUGAUUUGGAUGGAGUGAAGGUUUCCCUAGUCAAAUCGGUAGUGUCUUAAGCAUUCUGUGGUUUGAGGAGUACUGUUUUGGCUCAAGAUGUGUUUGUAAUGAGCCUACAUUAUCAGACUUUCUAUUAUUUUGAAGUGAUUUGCUGUGCUUUAAAAGUCAUGUCUCUCUCUAAAUAUUCAGAUGGUCGGGAGACCCGGUUACUAAAAUCUUAUUGGAAAAGGAGCAAUGGAUGAUGGAAUGUUCAAACACACAGCAGGGAGAUAUUGUAGAGAUCCUGAUGACAAAGGUUUACUUUCCUCACACUUAUGUUACAGUUCAUGUAAACACUAUGCAUGAGUUUAACACUGAAUGCUAGCCAUUUUCCUGGUGUCUGCAGAAUUCAGUAACCAUAAUCAUGCGCUGGUGCUCCAGGAGACUGUAAAAUUUUAUCAGGACAUUAUGUUGAAUGGGAUGCUAGCUUGUGCGCCACGGCAUCAAGAAGGAAGUUUGGUAGGGGCUCCCCAUUGUGCCUUCUUCCUGGCAGUGUUGGCAUAUUGGCCAGGAAGAAUGUCAGAGAUCAAUUGUCGCAGCAGCUAUAACCUGAACUGAUCUCUUAUUCUGUAAAUGAAAUAGUACUUUGCAAAUUCUGAUGAGUCUGAACACUCUACAAGAUCAUUUUAGCCUAGCAUUGUCAGUGCAAGCUCAUUAACAAACAACAGCUCAUGAGCGUCACCA